GACGAACGCUGGCGGCGUGCUUAACACAUGCAAGUCGUACGGUAAGGCCCUUUCGGGGGUACACGAGUGGCGAACGGGUGAGUAACACGUGAGUAACCUGCCCACAACUUUGGGAUAACGCUAGGAAACUGGUGCUAAUACUGGAUAUGUGCUCCUGCUGCAUGGUGGGGGUUGGAAAGCUCCGGCGGUUGUGGAUGGACUCGCGGCCUAUCAGCUUGUUGGUGGGGUAGUGGCCUACCAAGGCGGCGACGGGUAGCCGGCCUGAGAGGGUGACCGGCCACAUUGGGACUGAGAUACGGCCCAGACGCCUACGGGAGGCAGCAGUGGGGAAUAUUGCACAAUGGGCGCAAGCCUGAUGCAGCAACGCCGCGUGCGGGAUAACGGCCUUCGGGUUGUAAACCGCUUUCAGCAGGGACGAAGCUUUUUGUGACGGUACCUGCAGAAGAAGCACCGGCUAACUACGUG
rnacentral:rRNA from 1 species